UGGAUUCGGUUCCAAAUACCUGAAACCGAAUUAUUUCGGUUUGGAUUCGGUUUUGGAUCCUAAAAAGCCAAAAAUCGAAAUCCAAACCAAAAUGUUUAAGCCCAUAUUGAUUCCCAGCCCAAUUCCCCUACAUAUAUAUAGCAAACCCUAAUAUCCUUCUUCAUUUUUUCUGAUUUUCGCCCACCUUCAUUCCCCGGUUCCUCUACUUCCUCACCAAAACCCUUCAUUUCCUCACUUCCUCCCUCAUCACCUUACUCCGGCCACCGUAUCUCACCACAAUAUCUCACUCUGGCCACCGUAUCUCAGUUCUUUCCUUCAGUUUCGGUGUCUCCUUGUUCGAAUCUUAGUUCCUUUCUUCAGAUCUGGUGUUUGUAGACUUCAUACUCCCUCAAAUCCGCGACGCGCCACCACCUUGUCAAUUUCAUCACUCACCACCACCUCCCUCACAAAUGCAACAGUCAGUCAGGGCCCCUUACCACCGCUUGUCCGCCGUUCUACUCUCACUACAAAACUCAAAGGAAGUUGAGGAGCUUGGAGCUGCCAAGUUAAUUGAAGGCUUGAAGUUUCCAUGUUUACUGUUAUUAAAUUUUAAGUCCUUUCUUAUGUUUGUAACUUAAUUUUAAUGGCUGAACAAUUUUUUUUUUAAUUAUGUUUAUUUCUUAAAUUUGGCCAAUAUCAAGCCUCAAGACAUAUUAUAUUA